rnacentral:misc_RNA from 1 species
UACGUAGGGUGCAAGCUUUAAUUGGAAUUACUGGGCGUAAAGGGUGCGCAGGCGGCCCCGCAUGUCAGGCGUGAAAUCCCCGAGCUCAACUUGGGAAUGGCGCUUGAAACUACGGGGCUGGAGUGUGGCAGAGGGAGGUGGAAUUCCACGUGUAGCGGUGAAAUGCGUAGAUAUGUGGAGGAUCACCGAUGGCGAAGGCAGCCUCCUGGGCCAACACUGACGCUCAUGCACGAAAGCGUGGGGAGCAAACAGG